rnacentral:rRNA from 1 species
CAUGCAAGUCGAGCGGAGCGAGGGUGCUUGCACCUUAGCUUAGCGGCGGACGGGUGAGUAAUGCUUAGGAAUCUGCCUAUUAGUGGGGGACAACAUUCCGAAAGGGAUGCUAAUACCGCAUACGCCCUAAGGGGGAAAGCAGGGGAUCUUCGGACCUUGCGCUAAUAGAUGAGCCUAAGUCGGAUUAGCUAGUUGGUGGGGUAAAGGCCUACCAAGGCGACGAUCUGUAGCGGGUCUGAGAGGAUGAUCCGCCACACUGGGACUGAGACACGGCCCAGACUCCUACGGGAGGCAGCAGUGGGGAAUAUUGGACAAUGGGCGGAAGCCUGAUCCAGCCAUGCCGCGUGUGUGAAGAAGGCCUUUUGGUUGUAAAGCACUUUAAGCGAGGAGGAGGCUACUAGUAUUAAUACUACUGGAUAGUGGACGUUACUCGCAGAAUAAGCACCGGCUAACUCUGUGCCAGCAGCCGCGGUAAUACAGAGGGUGCGAGCGUUAAUCGGAUUUACUGGGCGUAAAGCGCACGCAGGCGGUUGGAUAAGUUAGAUGUGAAAGCCCCGGGCUCAACCUGGGAAUUGCAUUUAAAACUGUCCGGCUAGAGUCUUGUAGAGGGGGGUAGAAUUCCAGGUGUAGCGGUGAAAUGCGUAGAGAUCUGGAGGAAUACCGGUGGCGAAGGCGGCCCCCUGGACAAAGACUGACGCUCAGGUGCGAAAGCGUGGGGAG